rnacentral:misc_RNA from 1 species
ACAAAUCUCUGCGUGCAGCUGUAGUCCUGUAUGGGAUUACUGCUUGCACACAUAAGCACCCUAGGGCACACGCCCUAGUGUGAGGGGGAGCCCUCGGAGCAAUCCACCGGUUCCCCACAGGUCAUUCUGUGACCACAUUAACGCUUGUUUGUUUGACAGAGUUAUGUGACAUACACAAAUUGA